GUCCACGCCGUAAACGUUGGGCACUAGGUGUGGGACUCUAUCGACGGGUUCCGUGCCGUAGCUAACGCAUUAAGUGCCCCGCCUGGGGAGUACGGCCGCAAGGCUAAAACUCAAAGGAAUUGACGGGGGCCCGCACAAGCGGCGGAGCGUGUGGCUCAAUUCGAUGCAACGCGAAGAACCUUACCUGGGCUUGACAUGUACGGUAAAGCGGGUGAAAGCCCGUGUGCUUCGGCGCCGUACACAGGUGGUGCAUGGCUGUCGU
rnacentral:rRNA from 1 species